GGUGUAGGCGGAGUGGAAGGUGUCCUGUGAAAGCCCUCGGCUCAACCGAGGAAAUGCAGGGCAAACCGCCAUUCUUGAGGCAGGUAGAGGCAAGUGGAACUAUGGGUGGAGCGGUGAAAUGCGUAGAUAUCCAUGGGAACGCCAGUGGCGAAAGCGGCUUGCUGGGCCUGUCCUGACGCUGAGACCCGAAAGCGUGGGUAGCAAACAGGAUUAGAUACCCUGGUAGUCC
rnacentral:rRNA from 1 species